rnacentral:ribozyme from 1 species
CAUUCCACACUUAUUGGGACAUAAAGGAGAAAACUUGUGCAUUGAAGCAAAUUAUUAUUUCGAUGCUUCGAAGUGUGGAAUUGGGUUUCAUGGAGAUGGAGAAAGAAAAAAAGUUAUCGUUUUAAGGGUAGGAGCG